CAGGCAAGUUCAUUUUGGGAACCCGGGCCCCGGUCCAGAUUGAAUCCUCAGGGUGAACCACACGCGUGCGUACGGCGUGCCAUAAACAGUAAACACUUCCUGCCAAAUAGUGGUCCCUAACAACAGACAAAGCGGUGUGGAAUCAAUACGAAGCCAUUCAACAACAACAACAAAACACAAUACCCCAAUGUGUCCAGACAGCCUCCCCAAGAAGUAGAGAGUAGAGACAUGUCAGGAGGAAGUGGCUCAGCGCAUAUGGACGACUCGCAGGACCUGCCUGACUUGCCGACCAAGAAGGCCAGACAUGAGCUGGACGUUGGACUGAACCAAGAGCCAAGGGGACUACGUGAUGACCAGAUCCCUCCUACUCUCUUCGGCUCAGGAGAUCAGGACAAUUCAUACUCUACGUUGUCUAAUGCCCAGCUUGAUGGAGGUGAGUGGCUUCUAAGAGAAGAUGUCUAUCUAUUGGGGUGUGAAGAUCAGAUGGAAUCGUACAACAUCAGUGGUGGUUCAUUGGUACAGAUGGUUGACUGUUGGUUCAGUCUGGUUCAGACAGAGGAGUGAGGCCUUGGGCUUGGGACGAGUUCAUAACU
rnacentral:lncRNA from 1 species